rnacentral:rRNA from 1 species
CAUCGAGACUCCUACGGGAGCAGCAGUGGGGAAUAUUGCACAAUGGGCGCAAGCCUGAUGCAGCCAUGCCGCGUGUGUGAAGAAGGCCUUCGGGUUGUAAAGCACUUUCAGUUGUGAGGAAGGUGGUGUCGUUAAUAGCGGCAUCAUUUGACGUUAGCAACAGAAGAAGCACCGGCUAACUCCGUGCCAGCAGCCGCGGUAAUACGGAGGGUGCGAGCGUUAAUCGGAAUUACUGGGCGUAAAGCGCAUGCAGGUGGUUUGUUAAGUCAGAUGUGAAAGCCCGGGGCUCAACCUCGGAACUGCAUUUGAAACUGGCAGACUAGAGUACUGUAGAGGGGGUAGAAUUUCAGGUGUAGCGGUGAAAUGCGUAGAGAUCUGAAGGAAUACCGGUGGCGAAGGCGGCCCCCUGGACAGAUACUGACACUCAGAUGCGAAAGCGUGGGGAGCAAACAGGAUUAGAUACCCUGGUAG